rnacentral:rRNA from 1 species
UACAGAGGUCUCAAGCGUUGUUCGGAUUCAUUGGGCGUAAAGGGUGCGUAGGCGGCGCGGUAAGUCGGGUGUGAAAUCUCGGAGCUUAACUCCGAAACUGCAUUCGAUACUGCCGUGCUUGAGGACUGGAGAGGAGACUGGAAUUUACGGUGUAGCGGUGAAAUGCGUAGAUAUCGGGAGGAACACCUGUGGCGAAAGCGGCUCACUGGACCACAACUGACGCUGAGGCGCGAAAGCCAGGGGAGCAAACGGG